rnacentral:lncRNA from 1 species
UAACUCCAAUGCCACCUCCUCCAUGAAGUCUUCCCUAAUUGCCGGUACAUCUGGCUCCCAGCCAGGAGUAACCUCUUUCUGUCUCUGAAAUUUGUAACACUUUUUAUACAGAUCAAUGCCAUCCUGCUUUGUAUUGUAGUUAUGACUGUGCAUGUCUAUUCUUCCCAGCUAGGUUGUACAUCCCCUUGAGAGCAGGGAUCAUGUCUUAUUCAUCUUCAGUGGGUGGUACCCCCCUCCCAAGCCUUGCACACAGUAGGUACUCAGUAAAUAAUUCUUUCUCCACUCUCCCCUUAAUGUAGCCUAAGAUCAAAUUAGGCUUUUUGUUUCCCAUUGUUGAUGCACACUGUGGGUCCCCCUGCCCCUCUCCCCAAGCCCAGGGCUCCUAAUCAUUGUUAUGGCAGAUAGGCAAGACCUUGCAAGGAGAUAUUUCAUAAUACCACCACAAGAGCCCUGGGUUUGAAUCCUGGCUCUGCUCCCCACUACCUAGGUGACCUUGGGCAAGUAAUUCCUUGUCUCUGGGCUUAGUUUUCUUUGCCUGCUAAAUGAGGAGAUUGGCCGACAUCCUCCCCGAGGCUCCUUCCAGCUCGAACAUUCUGUGAUCCUAGGAGGGCCCGGUUAUAAAUGAGCCAAGAACAAGGCUCUUGCCCGGAAUGUCCUAGAGGCAAAACCGCAAAGGUUGACAAAUAGAAGGAGUGGAGAUUCCUUGGCCUUUGGGUCCCCUGAGCCGGCGUACUCUAGAAACAACCCUCCCCAGACGGGGGUCCCCACUUCCAGUGACCAGGUAGGCAGGGUCAUUAUCUCAGGUAAGAGUUUUGCUUGUGUUCCUCCAUUAGAAUGUGAGUUCCUCAAAGGCAAGGGUCAUGUUUUUGCCUUUUUUUUUAUGUCCAGGUGCUUAGUUCCUCAGACAAGGUAAAUAAGUGCUUAAUAAAUGUUUACUGAAUAAGGAGCCCA